ensembl:lncRNA
GAGCUGACAUGCUGCCACACUCCAAGUUUUUACAGAAGCCAAGGAUGAGGACCUAUAUCUUUUGCUGGAUUUUUCUUUGCAUCCUGUUAUAUUCAGCUUUGGCCUGUUGUAACAGCCACUAUGGUGUGGUGUCCCUUUAAGACACCCAAGUCGAGGGUUGAUGGUGUCAUCAGUUUGUGCCACUGCUCUCUCUCUCUGUGAUGGUGUGGGGACACGUGCCUUCACGCUCAUGCUUAACGAGAGAGGGACUUAUGUUUUCUUUUCCAGACCCUUUUUUUUGUUUUGUUUGCAGCGCUUGGGUUGUAUGAACGCUGGGCAUUUUUGUUGUUGAGCCGCAGCCGUUCAGCCGGGCUUUUAUACGGUUGCUGAAGAGUGCGUAUUAAAGAACCACCGUGGAUUACUGAUACCAGCGUGGGGUCAUUGAUUAGGACCGUGACUUCCAAAAGUGACACAGAGGAUCAAACUGAUACAAGCAGCAAGCACACAGAGAAUGCUUUGGCCUGUUCCCCAUGUUCUUGCGUCUAUUGUAUCAUUAUUGGCACAGUUAGUGGCUUAGCUUUUGGCUUUGUGCUUGUUGGAGGUGCUUUUAUCUUCUGGAAAUGCAAGAAAUCAACAAUUAUGCAAUGCAUUUUCUCAGCAAAAAAGAAUGAUGGUCAACUAAAGACGGCCCUGCUGCAGAGACAAGCUGAGAAGACACAUGAAGAACUGGACGUAUUAUCAGCGCUGAACACUCUAAUGAAGGAACUGAAGAGGGGAUAUCGCCAGCAAAAGGAAGAAUUCAAACAGUUAGAGGAGACAAAUAAAGAGCUGGUAGAAAACAAGGAGAAACUUUGUCUGGUAGAAAAUGAAAUAGCAAAGAGUGAGAAAGAAAAAGAGACGGACAAAACAGAAAGAUACUUGGAGGAAAAACAAAGUCUAUUAAGUGUUCAGCGUAAACUGGAGAAGAGAAAGGAAGAACUAGAGAAUCUACAACUGAACAUGGAGAAACAGCUGCAACAAACAGAGGAUAUAAUGAGCAUGGUGACAGAAAGGAAGACAAAAGUAGAACGCGCUUUAGAGGUGAUUAACUCGCAGCUGGAGGACGCAGAAAGUCAAAGUGAUACGGCUCAUCUUCACACACAGUAGUGACAAUAACCUACUGCUACUUCACUGUUUAUUAAUUGUCCCUUGAAACUAAACUUAGGUUCAUAAUUUGGAUAGAAAAUUUUGUUUUAUAGAAUAGAAUUUCUUUUCUUUUAAACUGUGUACACCACGAUAGCAGAUUUUACCCAAGUAACCAAUAUGUAAUUGAAAAGCAGAGUUUGCAUCAUUAAUUCAAAACAUUUAACAAAGAAUUUUGUAUUAACAUUAACUUAUAUUCAGUGGUUAUAUACAGUAUACUGCUUACACAGUGCCCCAUUUUCAGGGGCUCAAAAGUCACUGGACAAAGUAACACAACUUUAAACAUAAGGAUUGCUUCUAACAGCUGGAAAACUUUCUGUUGUUAAUGGCUGUUUGAAAUCUAGAAACCAUGGACAUCAGCAAGCUGUGUUUUUCUCCUUUGAGAAGCUUUGCAGGGCCUUUGUUGCAGCUGCUUUCAGUUGCUGCUUGUCGGUGUGUCUCUCUGCCUUCAGUUCUCCUCUUCAUUAACUGAAAAGUCACCUUCUAUUUGUUUUUAAAUCAGGUGACUGUAAAGACCUAAUUUUUUGACUUGAGAAAUUGUUGGGUCUUCGUCUUCUUGAGUGUAACUAGUGGCUUAUAUACGGUGUACAUUUUAGGACAUCGUCAGGUCUCAAGAAAAAAGUUGUCAGGUAUCAGACAAAAAAUUGUCAAGUCUCAGUUCUCAAAAAAAAAGUUGUCAGGUAUCAGACAAAAAAUUGUCAGGUCUCAGUUCUCAAGAAAAAAAUUGUCAGGUAUCAGACAAAAAAUUGUCAGGUCUCAGUUCUCAAAAAAAAAAUUGUCAGGUAUCAGACAAAAAAUUGUCAGGUCUCAGUUCUCAAAAAAAAAGUUGUCAGGUAUCAGACAAGUGCUCAGUGUAAACUGGAGAGAGAGAAAGGAAGACCUGGAGAAUCUAAAGCUGAACAUGGAGAAACAGCUACAACAAACAGAGGAAAUAAUCAACAUGAUGACAGAAAGGAAGAAAAAAAUCAUAAAGGUGAUUGACUUUCAAGUGAGAAUAACCUACUGGUACUUCACAGUUUAUUAAUUGUUCCUUGCAACUAAAAUUAGGUGCAUAAUUAGGAUAGAGAAUUUUCUUUUAUAGAGAAUUUUUGUCUUUUUAAGUUUUGCUGUACACCACGAUAGCAGAUUUUAACCCAAACAACCAAUAUGUAAUUGAAAAGCAGAGUUGCCUAAUUCAUUCAGAGCAUUUAACAAACUGUCUUAGGAGUGGAGAAGUGUACUGGUACGCAAUUUCAAGUACAAGGAUGAUAUACAGAGCUGUGGAAAUUAACGAGUUAAAGUUGAUUAAGAAUAUACAAAUCUACAGUACAUGGAAAUUUAAAACAACCAAAAUGAGAAAAAAAAGAAAAACAUAAGAAAUAUAUUUCCUAUGUGGCGCCAGUGUCCGGCAGCCUCGCCUCUGUCAGUGCGCCCCAGGGCAGCUGUGGCUACAUUUGCAGCUUGCCACCACCAGUGUGUGACUGGGUGGAUGACUGAAUGUAGUGUAAAGCGCUUUGGGGUCCUUAGGGACUAAGUAAAGCGCUAUACAAAUACAGGCCAUUUACCAUUUAUUUCAGAAAAGAUGAUCAUUCCAUUGAGAAGGAUUCGAUUUUUUAAAUGAUUCUAUCUCUAACCCAAACAACUUAAUAGAGUAACCAAAUAUCUUAAAAAUAUGUUAUUAGUCAAACCAUGUAACAUGUGAAAUAAAAACAGGACAAAACACAUCAAUUUCUGUGUUUUGUGGUUUGGAAAAUUUUGUUGAUCUAAACACAAAUGUGAUUUUUUCCAUUUAUGUGCUGCCAUAUGUUUUGCGUUGUGAUUACAUUUUACUGAUAGUCUGCUAGUCAAUAAAUAAUUUCUGUGAUUUUACACCAAUAAAAUUCUCUUUACUCUUUUUCUUUAUAUGUUUUGCAAAGAUUAAGAUACAUGGAAUAAAUAAUUCUGUUAUGGCCCUGGGUCAUUUGACCCAGUGUUUUGUGUUUAUUAUGAUGAUCUUGUGUUCUAGUUUAAUUUGUUUAUGUAUUUGGGUUUAGACUUAUUAGGGUUUUGGUUCUGUGCUCCCUCUGCUUAGACGAGAACAGAGGAAGCACACGGGCAGUGUGUUCCCUCUGUUCUCCAUCUGUACUGUGUCUCUGAGUCCAGUCUGUGUAUUUCCUCUUUUACUUUGAAGGUCCCUGUCUGAUGUCAGUGUGUUCAUUUUUGUCAUGUAAAUUAGGUUCAGCCGUGUCUCCCUCCUGUGUGUAGUUUUCCUCGUUUCCCUCCUGUGUGUAUUUAUAGUGUGUGUUCUCUUGUGUGCGUUACUGGUCCAUCUGUGUUUUCUCCAUACAGUUCUCCCAGCUUGUCAUGUUACCUCAGCUCUCCGUUCCCUCAUGUUUCAGGUUUGUAGGUUGGCUCAUAGUUUUUCCCAGUUUAGGUUUGCUUAGUUCUGUUCAUGCCAUCACCGCCUUUUGUUUGUUUGUCACCAUUUGUCACCCCAUCAAUAAAGCUCACUCACUUCA